UAGGGAAUCUUCGGCAAUGGACGAAAGUCUGACCGAGCAACGCCGCGUGAGUGAAGAAGGUUUUCGGAUCGUAAAACUCUGUUGUUAGAGAAGAACAAGGACGUUAGUAACUGAACGUCCCCUGACGGUAUCUAACCAGAAAGCCACGGCUAACUACGUGCCAGCAGCCGCGGUAAUACGUAGGUGGCAAGCGUUGUCCGGAUUUAUUGGGCGUAAAGCGAGCGCAGGCGGUUUCUUAAGUCUGAUGUGAAAGCCCCAGGCUCAACCGGUGAGGGUCAUUGGAAACUGGGAGACUUGAGUGCAGAAGAGGAGAGUGGAAUUCCAUGUGUAGCGGUGAAAUGCGUAGAUAUAUGGAGGAACACCAGUGGCGAAGGCGGCUCUCUGGUCUGUAACUGACGCUGAGGCUCGAAAGCGUGGGGAGCAAACAGG
rnacentral:rRNA from 1 species